rnacentral:rRNA from 1 species
GAUGAACGCUAGCGGCAGGCCUAAUACAUGCAAGUCGAACGAUAUUUUCCAGCUUGCUGGGAGAGUAAGUGGCGCACGGGUGCGUAACGCGUAUGCAACCUACCUUUAUCAGGGGGAUAGCCCGGAGAAAUCCGGAUUAAUACCGCAUAAAAUCACAGAACGGCAUUGUUCAAUGAUCAAACAUUUAUGGGAUAAAGAUGGCAUGCGUGUCAUUAGCUAGUUGGCGGGGUAACGGCCCACCAAGGCGACGAUGACUAGGGGAUCUGAGAGGAUGGCCCCCCACACUGGUACUGAGAAACGGACCAGACUCCUACGGGAGGCAGCAGUAAGGAAUAUUGGUCAAUGGAGGCAACUCUGAACCAGCCAUGCCGCGUGCAGGAAGACUGCCCUAUGGGUUGUAAACUGCUUUUAUCCGGGAAUAAACCUCCGAUCGUGAUCGGAGCUGAAUGUACCGGAAGAAUAAGGAUCGGCUAACUCCGUGCCAGCCGCCGCCGUAA